GCGUCGAUACUCAAGCGGUCAACGAGGGGAGACUGUAAAUCUCUUGGCUUUGCCUUCGCAGGUUCGAAUCCUGCUCGGCGCA
rnacentral:tRNA from 1 species